AUGUUUAAAACACGGGUCAUACAAGGAAAUUUUGGUGUGGAGGUGUGGAUUUCACUAAUGCUUUACAUUAAAAACACCCAAACUACAAUGUGCACACUCAGCUGGACUAAGAUGAAGGUCUCAGGUGCUCACGUCUGGCUUCUCUUAUUGUUCCUGUUCCAAAGUGACAGAAACCAGGUUUCAGGCCAGUGUUCAGUACCCACAGCACUCUGCUGUCCUGGAGUGAAUAGCCAAUGCAACCGUGGUGGGUGUUUUUGUGAUGAGUUCUGCGUCACAAGCGGGGACUGCUGUGCUGACUACAAUCAGAUAUGCAUUCAGCCACAUUCGCCACCAUCCUUUAUAUCACCUUCAUCAACCACACUAUCAUAUUCACCGUUCUCAUCAACAUCCUUAUCAACCUCAAUAUCACCAACCUCACAACCUUUAUCUUCCUCAACAUCAGCCUCACCACCAUCUUCAUCCUCCCUACCUACAACCAACCAAUCACCAACAUCAUCACCAAUCUCACCACCAACUUCAUCCUCCUCACCUACAACCAACCAAUCACCAACAUCAUCACCAACCUCACAAACAUCUUCAUCAGUCUCACCAACAACCAACCAAUCAUCAUCACCACCACCAACCUCUGCAUCUUCAUCAACAUCCCAGCAGAGAAGUAGAUUAUGCCAGUUAUUGAAAAUGCUAAAGUGA
rnacentral:lncRNA from 1 species